GGGUGUGAAGUUACCAAUGUUAAUCCAAUGGAUCCCAUCGGAUCUCCGCAGUUAAGCAUGCUUGGACUAGAAUAGUACUGGGAUGGGUGACCUCCCGGGAAGUCCUAGUGUUGCACCCU
rfam:Picea glauca, whole genome shotgun sequence.